CUCUGCAUCUGUAAGGUGACGGGUGCUGACUGUAGUUAGUAAUGCUGUACUGCCUAUCUGACAUGGCUCUGCAUCUAUGUAAGGUGACGGGUGCUCACUAGACUUAUCGGGGCGAUCACUUUGCUAUGCAUACAAGUGCUGAAUCAUUAUG